rnacentral:lncRNA from 1 species
AUUUGUAUUAUCAGAGAAUCUCUAAGAAUGCAUUCAAUUCUAAAAUCCCGUAGUUUGAAGUAUAUUUUAAUAAGUGUAGAUUUCAGAAAUUAAUGUCUAUUUUGCUUUUCCCAUUGCUUUUCCUUUCCUUGCAUUAUCUUGUUCUAUAUAAAGUUUUGAGAAAUUAAUGUAUAUAUUUCCCUCUAGACAUUUUGGAGAACAUGGCCACCACUCUCUCAAAUAACACCACAAUAUACAACCUUGUUCACCAGGAUCUUGUCACACUGGGGAAGUUUCUGGCCUGCGCCUUCAUCUGUAAUCAAUGCAUAACAAAAGACCAACCAGCCGGCCAGCAAACCAGAAAAACGUCCAGCAGCAGGAUACCUAAGGGACAUAAGAAAAUGAGAAUUUGGGUUUCCUGAAUCUUGUCAAUAGUUCAUUGAUUCUGUACAUAAAAUAUGGAAAUAGAUACGCUUGUAUUAGUAUUUAGAAACACGGUGAUGUUAUAUUCUGUGUUGCAGUAUAAAACUGUUUAUAUUUUCCCCGCCUCUUCCUCCCACUAUGCAACAUUUCAUUUCCAUUAAUAAAACUAAUUAGAUGCUCCCA